rnacentral:rRNA from 1 species
UACGUAGGGUGCAAGCGUUCAUCGGAAUUACUGGGCGUAAAGCGUGCUCAGGCGGCUUUGCAAGACAGAUGUGAAAUCCCCGGGCUUAACCUGGGAACUGCAUUUGUGACUGCAUGGCUGGAGUGCGGCAGAGGGGGAUGGAAUUCCGCGUGUAGCAGUGAAAUGCGUAGAUAUGCGGAGGAACACCGAUGGCGAAGGCAAUCCCCUGGGCCUGUACUGACGCUCAUGCACGAAAGCGUGGGGAGCAAACAGG